rnacentral:lncRNA from 1 species
UCGCUCUUCCUCCGCCCCCCGACCACACCCCCUUAAAGGGCCAGCCCCUCUACAGGCCCCUCUCCCCUACUCCGCCCCCGGGCAGGGGUAGGGGAGGGUCUAUUCGGCAGGGGGUGGCCUAGCUGUCCGUACUCCCCAAACGCAACCUUCCAGUCCCAAACCCAGGCGUUCUAAGCGCUCAGGACGACGAUUUGCGCUCACGCCAGGACCCUAGUCUUCAUUGGACCCUUCCUCAUUCUGUCCUCAUUGAGGCCAUCUGAGAAUAGGGGCUAUCUGAGAAUGCAGGGGAGUGGACAUCGUGUGCAGACAGGGAGUCUGGUGAGGAGACGCUGCGGUCCCCGAUGUCCAGGUCCUCCAGCCCUCGGCCAGCGAGGAGCGAACGGGCUCCUCCGCACGGACCGACACGUGGACUGGGCUCCUGGGAAAGGAAGAGUGGAGAAGGCGGGCAGGAGCUGUCCGGGUCCCUAGACUCUCCGAGUAGCAGGUCCCACGCCCCCAGCGGAAGAAGCCGGGGCUGGGGAUUGUGAGUGCCACGGGGCUGAGGCCUGCGCCGACCUGGUCUGCUGGUGCUACCAGGCUUGAACAGUCUUCAAAUCCACUGCUAUUAGGCAAAUUACCUGGCUCCCGCUGAACUCCAGCACCUAGAACUAUGUCACACUCGUAGUAGGCCGCUGCAUUGGUUGAACAAAUGAUUUUGAAAGAAUGAAUGUCUUCCUCUGUGCCUGCAUUUCCUCAGAAGGCUGUAACAAAGAUUAAAUAGGAAAAUUCGUGGAAAGUUCAA